rnacentral:lncRNA from 1 species
UUCAAGUCCCAGACUCUGUAACAGUGAGCUUACAUCAGCUGUAAGUCCAGCUUCAGGGCAGUUCUAGGUUCAAAGGAUAUAAUCUGGACAUGGAAUUUCAGAUUGAAGACUCUUCUAUUAAAUCUUGAUAAGGCCAUCCAGUAAAGAAAAAGACUAUCAAAGGCACACCACAGAGACUGAGCAAUUAGACACUGACUGAGACAUUACUGAUUUAUGAAGGGUGAUACCAAUCUCAAUGUCGUAUAUUUACUCAGGAGCAAUGCCACAAAAUAGUAAAGCCACUGCAAACAGGACACUGGGAACAUGAAUGUCAUUCAACUCAAAAAUAGAUGUCAUUUAACAAAAGCAUGUCUAAUAAGAGUAGAGGAAACAGACCUGGCUGGGAAGAGUUGAAAAGUUAUG